UACGUAGGGGGCAAGCGUUGUCCGGAAUCAUUGGGCGUAAAGAGCGCGUAGGCGGCCCGAUAAGUCCGCUGUGAAAGUCAAGGGCUCAACCCUUGAAUGCCGGUGGAUACUGUCGGGCUAGAGUCCGGAAGAGGCGAGUGGAAUUCCUGGUGUAGCGGUGAAGUGCGCAGAUAUCAGGAGGAACACCAAUGGCGAAGGCAGCUCGCUGGGACGGUACUGACGCUGAGGCGCGAAAGCGUGGGGAGCAAACAGG
rnacentral:rRNA from 1 species